rnacentral:lncRNA from 1 species
AGACGGAAGUGGAGCGAGGACAAAAUGGCUGCGAAGGUUGUUGCUCCCCUCCCCCACCCACGUCCGAAUCCUCCUUUCCAUGCCCCACCUUCGUGUUCCAGACGGGCCUCUAAGUGCCCCGGGUUUCGCGAAUCUGUAUUUCAUAGCGUGGCUUUGGACAAGGGCUGACCCCGAGGGGCUGGGGCGAAGGUUCCGGCUUCAGGGUGCCACUAGGGCUGCUCGCUCACGGCCCCCCAGGAUUGGGAUUGGAGGGAGCCGCCAGGCCGCCGCGGGGUGGGGCGGGUUAGCUCGGCAGGCCUCCCAGCACCUGCAUUUCCCUACGGCAACUGUCGGGAGGCAGCCCCCGACGCAGAGGUUUAAGGGGCCCGGCUUUUCAGAACCGCCUCAGGACGCGGUCGUGUCUGGAUCCCUCCGCGGAAAAGAAGGCGAAACCGCUUCUCUGAGCCCUGACCGUUAGGCCCCUUCCCACCUCCGUCUAGAACAGAUUCGGCUUCUUGGCUCAGUCCUUCCCCAACUAGCCCAAGCCCUACAUUUCCCCGUUGUUUAUAAAAUAAACAGGUUUAAAUGGUGGCGAGUGUGUUCUUGGUUAGGUGAACCAGGCAUUAGGAAUCAUAGGUUCCAGUAGCCGUGCGUCCUUGAUUUAGACUUUCUGAACGUUUGUAUUUUCAGUAACAUGAGGUGAUAUCUUUCCUGGUUUGACUUUCAUCAAAAAUUAAACGACAGACCAUACCGACGCUUUGAAAACGUGACUGAGCUGGUGCACAAAACAAUGGUGCCUAGAAUUUUGAAUUGUGCAAUGUUGUGCAUGGCCGCGGAUAUGUGGGGCCUUGUGGUUCCAAGAGCCUGUCUCAGGUGUACCGGCCCUCAUCACUGGGCUUCAGAGGUUCAAUCUGCAAGGAGGCAUCUCCUGCCAGGAAAUUGGAAGCAAAGGCCACUCGGCCCUUCUGUUCCUCAGUCAAGUUAUUGUAGACAUGACGACUGGAGUAAGUGAUCACCUGUGGGAUAGACCGAGGCAGAGUCAAGCAGCGUAACUCUCAGCCUGCCUUUCCUGAUGGUGUGAAGAAGAGGAAAGGGAGUACUCCCAGUGGCACAAAGUAGUCAAGCCUGGGGCUGAGAGUCCAAGAGACCUCUGUUCUAAAUAAAAGUUAAAAAUACAGU